GUUUGAAUGAUGACUGGAGUCGUCGGAUACCCCUCCACUCUCUGCAUGAGUGAGACACUAACAGUCUGACAGAC